GCCGGCCUGAGAGGGUGACCGGCACACUGGAACUGAGACACGGUCCAGACUCUACGGGAGGCAGCAGUGGGGAAUAUUCCGCAAUGGGCGAAAGCCUGACGGAGCAACGCCGCGUGAGGGAAGAAUGUCUUCGGACUGUAAACCUCUGUUGUAUGGGAAGAUAAUGACGGUACCAUACGAGAAAGCCCCGGCUAACUACGUGCCAGCAGCCGCGGUAAUACGUAGGGGGCGAGCGUUGUCCGGAAUUACUGGGCGUAAAGGGCGCGUAGGCGGCAAACUAAGUUAGAGGUGAAACCUGCAGGCUUAACCUGCAGCAUGCCUCUAAAACUGGUUAGCUUGAGUGCAGGAGAGGGAAGUGGAAUUCCUGGUGUAGCGGUGAAAUGCGUGGAUAUCAGGAGGAACACUCGUGGCGAAGGCGGCUUCCUGGCCUGUAACUGACGCUGAGGCGCGAAAGCGUGGGGAGCAAACAGGAUUAGAUACCCUGGUAGUCCACGCCGUAAACGAUGAGUGCUAGGUGUUGGAGGUAUCGACCCCUUCAGUGCCGUAGCAAACGCGUUAAGCACUCCGCCUGGGGAGUACGGUCGCAAGACUAAAACUCAAAGGAAUUGACGGGGGCCCGCACAAGCGGUGGAGCAUGUGGUUUAAUUCGACGCAACGCGAAGAACCUUACCAGGGCUUGACAUCCUCCGCCAUCCCUAGAAAUAGGGAGUUCCCUUAUGGGACGGAGAGACAGGUGGUGCAUGGUUGUCGUCAGCUCGUGUCGUGAGAUGUUGGGUUAAGUCCCGCAACGAGCGCAACCCUUACCGUUAGUUGCCAUCAUUAAGUUGGGCACUCUAACGGAACUGCCGUUGACAAAACGGAGGAAGGA
rnacentral:rRNA from 1 species